rnacentral:rRNA from 1 species
AGCGAACGCUGGCGGCAGGCCUAACACAUGCAAGUCGAGCGCCCCGCAAGGGGAGCGGCAGACGGGUGAGUAACGCGUGGGAACGUGCCCUUUGCUACGGAAUAGCUCCGGGAAACUGGAAUUAAUACCGUAUGAGCCCUUUGGGGGAAAGAUUUAUCGGCAAAGGAUCGGCCCGCGUUGGAUUAACUAGUUGGGGGGGUAAAGGCCUACCAAGGCGACGAUCCAUAGCUGGUCUGAGAGGAUGAUCAGCCACAUUGGGACUGAGACACGGCCCAAACUCCUACGGGAGGCUGCAGUGGGGAAUAUUGGACAAUGGGCGCAAGCCUGAUCCAGCCAUGCCGCGUGAGUGAUGAAGGCCUUAGGGUUGUAAAGCUCUUUCACCGGAGAAGAUAAUGACGGUAUCCGGAGAAGAAGCCCCGGCUAACUUCGUGCCAGCAGCCGCGGUAAUAC